rnacentral:rRNA from 1 species
UACGGAGGGGGCUAGCGUUGUUCGGAAUUACUGGGCGUAAAGGGUUCGUAGGCGGGAAUGCAAGUCAAGUGUGAAAUCCCCAGGCUCAACCUGGGACGUGCAUUUGAGACUGUGUUUCUUGAGAAUCGGAGAGGGUGGUGGAAUUGCUGGUGUAGGAGUGACAUCCGUAGAGAUCAGCAGGAACACCGGAGGCGAAGGCGACCACCUGGCCGAAUACUGACGCUGAGGAACGAAAGCGUGGGGAGCAAACAGG